rnacentral:sRNA from 1 species
UCUAAAUGUUUCCCAGUUAAAAGGAGGAAAAGUGACAUGUCUCACUCUGAACAGCUUGGGAAUUCAGAUGUGCAGUGAGGAGAAUGGAGGAGCCUGGCGCAUUUUGGACUGUGGCUCUCCUGACAUUGAAGUCCACACCUAUCCCUUCGGAUGGUACCAGAAGCCCAUUGCUCAAAAUAAUGCUCCCAGUUUUUGCCCUUUGGUUGUUCUGCCUUCCCUCACAGAGAAAGGGAUCAUGAAGGUUUGCUGAGGGCCUGAAAGACUUUUCCUGCCUGAAAGGUAUCAGAAUGUCACGGUUUACCCCAGCCAGCCUGUGCAGGUGUGGAAACCGCCUCUUCUAUUUCCCAGCUAUUCCAUAUUCAGGAGCAAUCACUUGAUGAGUGCUGAGCAGCUGAAAGAAAUUCCUCUUGGUUUUGAUUGUGGGAAGAAGGGUGAGGAUCCUGAAGACUUUUGGAUGCCUUGGACUCACUGUUUAUUUUUGAUGAGUCCUAAGAAAGUCACGUGAUCUUUUUAUACAAUAAAUGGGAUGGGUCUGUGAUUAUUUGAACGUUGGAGAGAGUGUCAGGCAUUUGCUGCCGGUUUGACAUUCUGCCCUUGGAUCUGAUACAAAAAUGCUUGGAGGCACUUUCCGCCUGUUUUUCAAAUGAGGGAGGCAAUGGCCAGAGCAGAAGCUCACCUGUCAUUACCUGCCAGCAAGCGGCAGACCUCUGCCUGUGGGGUGCAUGCAGCUCUAUAGUGAUGUG